GAAAAGGUCACGGGGCUUCCCGAAGAGACACACCAUCCCCGAGCUCAGACUGCCCCCUGUUACGAAGAUUCACCCUGACCCCAGAGCCAGUCUGGAAUUGAGGGGUACUGGCUACCUGAGAUGUUCCAGACUUCCACCCAUCAUCAAAUCUACCAGAACCCAUGAGCCUCUGCACCAGGAAAGACCCCCAGGUCCAGCUGGGUACAGGCCUGAGAAGCAGGGAGACGUUCCCUCUGGACUACCAGAGAAGAAGACUGUUGGUCUGAAGAAGCAGGGAGACGUUCCCUCUGGACUACCAGAGAAGAAGACUGUUGGUCUGAAGAAGCAGGGAGACGUUCCCUCUGGACUACCAGAGAAGAAGACUGUUGGUCUGAAGAAGCAGGGAGACGUUCCCUCUGGAC